rnacentral:lncRNA from 1 species
AGGGAGGCAUGAGAUGAAAUCACUGGAUCCCUGAAUCACUGGCCUGGAAGCUGCUGCGCCUGCAACAGGCUGUGUGAAGAACCUUCGGAGCGCACACAGCAGGUGUGGCAUAUUGCCAUCGGUCCUGUGGGGCAGAGAGAGGAAAAGUCGACCUUCAGGUUCUGGAAGCCCUGGUGGGACCCAGUGGCCAGCCUUGGGAGAGCACUCAGGCCGCACCACCCCCCAGGCUUGCUCCGAAGGUCAGUGGGUAGCAGGGGGAGGAGGAAGCGGAGGAGGGAGAGCUGUGGGAGGAGGAAAAGGGGUUACUGUCCUCGUGACUGUUGUGGGGUCUGACAAAGAGCCUUGUGGCUUGGCAGCGUCCUGAGUGCUGGAAUUUCUGGGGUCCAAGGUAUCAUCACAACAAGGUAACUACUUCUAUUACUGUUAUCAUUACAAAUAGUAGCUAAUGCUUCUUGAGCACUUAAAAAGUGCCAAGUGCUUUAUAUACAUCUCUCCUUUCAAUCCCCUCCUUUUUUUUUUUCCCAUGCCACGUGGCAUGUGAAGUCUUAGUUCCCUGACCAGGGGUCAAACUCAUGCCCUCUGCAGAGGAAGCACGGCGUCUUAACCCCUGAACCACCAGGAAAGGCCCCUUUUAAUCCUUUCAGUGUAGAGUUAUGUGUACCCCAUGUACAUGUGAGAGGCUCACAUAUGUGCAGUUAGGCCCCUGACUACAAUAUUCCCCCAAGCUCUGCCUAAUUUGGACUCCCUAGUGGUUCAUUUGGGGGCCUGCGUGGUGCCAGGCUCUGUUGGAUCCUGAAAUAUACAAAUUGGUGUGGUACAUUCUCUGCAUUGUCUCAGCAGGUUAGUAAUCAAUCGCCUGCUUAUUC